rnacentral:rRNA from 1 species
CCUACGGGGGGCAGCAGUGAGGAAUAUUGGUCAAUGGGAGAGAUCCUGAACCAGCCAAGCCGCGUGAGGGAAGACGGCCCUAUGGGUUGUAAACCUCUUUUGUCGGAGAACAAAACCCGGGACGUGUCCCGGACUGCGUGUAUCCGAAGAAAAAGCAUCGGCUAACUCCGUGCCAGCAGCCGCGGUAAUACGGAGGAUGCGAGCGUUAUCCGGAUUUAUUGGGUUUAAAGGGUGCGCAGGCGGUCUGUUAAGUCAGCGGUCAAAGCCCGGGGCUCAACCCCGGCCCGCCGUUGAAACUGGCAGUCUCGAGUUGGAGAGAAGUAUGCGGAAUGCGCGGUGUAGCGGUGAAAUGCAUAGAUAUCGCGCAGAACUCCGAUUGCGAAGGCAGCAUGCCGGCUCCACACUGACGCUGAGGCACGAAAGCGUGGGUAUCGAACAGGAUUAGAUACCCCAGUAGUC